AAGUAAAGGACGGUUGUCAGCGUCAUAAGAGGUUUUACCUCCAAAUGAAGAAAUAACAUCAUGGUAACGCUGCAUGAAGUAAUCACGUUCUUGGUCAGUAUGCAAAUUAGCAUAAGCAGCUUGCAGACCCAUAAUGUCAAUAGAUGUGGUAGAAGUCGUCAUUUGGCGAGAAAGCUCAGUCUCAAGAUCGGAAGAGCGGUUCA
rnacentral:rRNA from 1 species